GGCCUUGUGGCCUAAUGGAUAAAGCGUCUGACUUCGGAUCAGAAGAUUGUAGGUUCAAGUCCUGCCGGGGUCA